GAGAACAAUUUAAAUCCCUUAUCGAGGAUCAAUUGGAGGGCAAGUCUGGUGCCAGCAGCCGCGGUAAUUCCAGCUCCAAUAGCGUAUACUAAAGUUGUUGCAGUUAAAAAGCUCGUAGUUGGAUUUCUGGCAGGGACGGCUGGUCGGUUCCGAUAAGGGGCCGUACUAUUGUUGGUUCCUGUCAUCCUUGGGGAGAGCGAUUCUGGCAUUAAGUUGUUGGGGUCGGGAUCCCUAUCUUUUACUGUGAAAAAAUUAGAGUGUUCAAAGCAGGCUUAGGCCCUGAAUACAUUAGCAUGGAAUAAUAAGAUACGACCUUGGUGGUCUAUUUUGUUGGUUUGCACGCCAAGGUAAUGAUUAAUAGGGAUAGUUGGGGGUAUUCUUAUUCAAUUGUUUCACGUGGAAGUGUUGCAUGGGUCCAACCCCGACCUAAAACCUUCUAAUUUUUUUACCGAGAGAAGUAUGGGUUACUAAACACUAAACUUAGGGCCUGAACGAUUUUCACUUACCAUCAUAGUCACAAACAUAAACAAUGCCCACUAUGGAACGGUGGGUGCAUUGCAAGGCCAAAUCCCACAUUAUGAUAUAUCACAGUCACAGGGUUCAGGGCGGAGUAUGGUCGCAAAGCUACAGCCUCAAGCAAACUCGACAGAUUGCCACCACUUGAAUCGGAGCCAGCGGCUUAAUUUGACUCAACACGGGUGAUACACAUAUGGCACAAGGGCUACGCAGAGCAUAGUAAGGAAAGACAAGAUUGAAAGAUCUCGUGCUAUUACCUUGUUUACGU
rnacentral:rRNA from 1 species